AAUGAACGCUGGCGGUAGGCCUAACACAUGCAAGUCGAACGGCAGCACAGUAAGAGCUUGCUCUUACGGGUGGCGAGUGGCGGACGGGUGAGGAAUACAUCGGCAUCUACUUUUUCGUGGGGGAUAACGUAGGGAAACUUACGCUAAUACCGCAUACGCCCUACGGGUGAAAGCAGGGGAUCUUCGGACCUUGCGCGAUUGAAUGAGCCGAUGUCGGAUUAGCUAGUUGGCGGGGUAAAGGCCCACCAAGGCGACGAUCCGUAGCUGGUCUGAGAGGAUGAUCAGCCACACUGGAACUGAGACACGGUCCAGACUCCUACGGGAGGCAGCAGUGGGGAAUAUUGGACAAUGGGCGCAAGCCUGAUCCAGCCAUACCGCGUGGGUGAAGAAGGCCUUCGGGUUGUAAAGCCCUUUUGUUGGGGAAGAAAAGCAGCAGGUUAAUACCCCGCUGUUCUGACGGUACCCAAAGAAUAAGCAACGGCUAACUUCGUG
rnacentral:rRNA from 1 species